rnacentral:rRNA from 1 species
GCUUACCAAGGCAACGAUGCAUAGCCGACCUGAGAGGGUGAUCGGCCACACUGGAACUGAGACACGGUCCAGACUCCUACGGGAGGCAGCAGUAGGGAAUCUUCCGCAAUGGGCGAAAGCCUGACGGAGCAACGCCGCGUGAGUGAUGAAGGUCUUCGGAUCGUAAAACUCUGUUAUUAGGGAAGAACAUAUGUGUAAGUAACUGUG